rnacentral:lncRNA from 1 species
AACUAUUUAAUCAAAAAGUUUCUAAACUUACAUAGAUCAUUUACUUGACUCAUUCUUUUACAUUAAUUUUAUUUCUUUUAAUAUAUGAAGUCUUUGUUCUUAAAUAGUCUUAUUCAUAAACCAGAUACAUUUAAGUUGACAUCCUUAGCAUUCAUAAUUUUUCUACAAAGACUAGUGAGGUAGUUAUUUUUAGCUUAAGCUUUUAGUCCGGUUUGCCUGGGCUGCUAUCUUUUGACUUGAUUUAAAGGCUUUUCCUGUCAAUGAUUUCAUAUUAGGAACUUGUGUCAGUUUAUUUUUUGCCUUAUUAUCUUUCAUGAUCUAUUCUCUUUUAUCAAGUCUAUGAAUUCAAUAGUAUUCUACUUCAUAAACAUUGUUUUUAAAUCUUUAGUUGUUUUAGGCAUCUAAUAAGCUGUUAUAUAUGAGGCCUCAAUUAGCACUUAAAAUGGUAGCAUAGGUUAAGCCCUGAAAAAUAAUGCAAGAACAUGAAAAAUAAAGAAGUAAAAUCUAAAAUUUUCUUUCAGUUAUUUCAAGGUACAAUUCAGUCACAAAAGAAAAGAUUGAAUUUUGGGGAAAUCAACAGGGGUGGCAUGAAAAAUAUUUACUUGAAAUGAUUAAAUUAUGUUAUACUUUCUAAGACAUUUAUCAGUAAAGAAUCUUUUCUAAUUAAGGAAGGAAUUAUUUGCUUGCUAAAUAAAAAAUAUUUGCAAUUUGUAUUACUAGGAAUCUUAAUAUAAGGCAUUUAGAUUUAGACAAAUAUUAAAUUACUAUUUAUCACUGUAUAAAUAACUAUAUGUUUCAAAAAUAUGCAGAAACUUAAAAAUAUUUAUAAACACCUUAAAGAUUUAUAAUAGCUUUUCUUGCAUACAUUUAUUUAUCUUUAAGUUACUCUAAUAAUGGUUUCCUUCAUGUCCUAAUCUAGAGGAAAACUAUUUUGAAGAAAAAAAAGUAACUGGCAAAGCUUUAAAAUUGUUAUUAUAUUGGAAAAAGACAAAUGAAAAAAAUGAGAUAAAAGAUGAAAGUGAUUUGAAAGUGGUAACUAUUAAAUUGUUCAAAUUUUUAUAUAAAGUAUUUAUUAUAUAAACAUUCAAAAUAAAAUGUAAAGAUAUGUUGCCAUUAAAUAAAUAAUUCUCACUUUUCCUCAGCUAUUAAUAUUCUAUAGUUUGUUUAAAUGUUGAGCUCUUAGAGAGUGUUCCAUAAUCCCCAGGGAAUCUCCAAGACUUUCAGGAGGCCCACAAUGUCAAAUUCUUUUUGUGUUAAUUCUAAGAUGCUAUUUGCCAUUUUCACAAUCUUGAUACUUGCACUGAUGGUGCAGAAGUAAUGAUGAGUGAAAUUUCUGAUGUCUUUUCAUGAAUCAAGGCAGUGGCACCAAACUGCUGGUAGUUACUGGCUUCUUCACUGUGACGUACUUACUCACAGUUAAAGAAAAAUUUCCAGUUUUAAGAAUGCCCUGGAUGAGGCAAUAAAUGUUAACUUUAUUACAUUUGACCCUGGCGCACACUCAGUUUUCUGAGCUGUACUUUAUUAUAAUAUUUUGAGUGACUUCUGUAUAAUAACUUUGAUAUUUUUGCAUUUAUAUUUUUCAUUCAGUGUAGACCUAAAUAGCCAAUUAUUUCAUCUGAUGCCCAAAGAAGUAGAAAUUUGCUCAAAUCUUUAAGAAAACAUUGAUAAAUGGUAUUUUUGAACAGUGUUGUUGUAUAAGCAAUACUAAAGGAUAUAGCUUAUGGUUGAGUGAAGGGAUUUCCGUGAGUAAUUUUGACUGUGUACAUUUUUUUGGACUCAUGGGUCAACUUAGGCACUGACUCCUGAAAAUGAUGCUCCCGGCUGCUCUGCAGUACAUUCCAUCACCUGCUGUGCAUGGGAAUGAUGGAGCAUGAAUAGCAUUUGAUUAUGAUUAAAAAAAAAGCAACCAUUCACACCUCUUCAUCAAAUGCACUGUACAUAUUUUUGGAGCAUAAAGUGAAGCGUAAUGACCUGAUAUGAUUACAGGCAAGAGUAAAACUUCAAAGGAACAUUUUUAGGAGUGCAGAAAGUGGCAACUAUAGUUAAGUACCUGGAUCCUACCAUUUAUUACACCAUGUAGAAAAACCUCUUCUCAAGCCACUUUAUAUUUAAUUUGUGCUAACAUCUCAAGGGUACCAAAUGCUGCAACUUAUCACUGGCAGUGAGUACUUCUAGGGCAGAGACUCAAUUUUUAUCAUUGCUUAGAAGUCAUUUUCUUUAUGGGUAGUGGAAAUGAUUUAAAGGCUGGAGGAAAUAAAGUAGUCAAGGUAAUAAUUUUUUCUAAGUACUCUCAUGUUCUGUAGAAAAAUAUGUUUAAAUAUAAACAAUAAAUAUUGCUAAUUAAAAUAAUUACUUUUCCUCCUAUUUAUUUUAGAAUACUCUUUCUAUGAAGUAAUAUCUUGCCUGCAUUUAUUAAAAAAUAAUAUAAAAUUAUAUGGUUACACUUGCCUUUUACAGUAGGUAAACUGUUGUUAGAUUGGUAAAUGAGGAAUCUAUUCUACAUAUAUAAAUAUAUCAUAAUAUCUUUGUGGCCAAAGAAAAGGUCUAUGUUCUAAAUGAUGAUAUUGUUAAUUAAUUUUAACUAAUUAGCAGACCAGUCUUGAUUAGUGGAACCAUAAUACCCAAGACAAAAUUCUAUAGUAGCUAUCUAUGUGCCUUGUUGUUUUUAUCCUAAGAUAUUUAUUAUAUAUUUGCAUGAGGGGAGUUCCCGUUGUGGCGCAGUGGUUAACGAAUCCGACUAGGAACCAUGAGGUUGCAGGUUCAGUCCCUGGCCUUGCUCAGUGGGUUAACGAUCCGGCGUUGCCGUGAGCUGUGGUGUAGGUUGCAGACACGGCUCAGAUCCUGCGUUGCUGUGGCUCUGGCGUAGGCUGGUGGCUACAGCUCUGAUUAGACCCCUAGCCUGGGAACCUCCAUAUGCCAUGGGAGCGGCCCAAGAAAA